AAUCAACGCUGGCGGCGUGCCUCAGACAUGCAAGUCGAACGCGAAAGUUUCCUUCGGGAAGCGAGUAGAGUGGCGUCCGGGUGAGUAACACGUAGGUAAUCUACCUUUGGGUGGGGAAUAACAACCGGAAACGGUUGCUAAUACCCGCAUAAUGCAGCGGCACCACAUGGUGACAGUUGUUAAAGCGGGGGAUCGCAAGACCUCGCGCCUAAAGAGGAGCCUGCGGCGGAUUAGCUAGNGGUGAGGUAAUGGCUCACCAAGGCUUCGAUCUGUAGCUGGGUCUGAGAGGACGGCCAGCCACACU
rnacentral:rRNA from 1 species